rnacentral:rRNA from 1 species
GUCUCUUUGAAAAUUAUUUAUAGGGAGUCGGACCUGCCCAGUGACUUAAUUUGUUAAACGGCCGCAGUAUCCUGACUGUGCGAAGGUAGCAUAAUAAUUUGUCCUUUAAUUGGGGGCUAGUAUGAAUGGUUUGACGAGAAUCAAGCUGUCUCUUUUCAAAUUUAUAGAAAUUAACUUUUAGGUGAAGAGGCCUAAAUUUAAUUGAGGGACGAGAAGACCCUGUCGAGCUUUAGUGAAAAUUGAGUGUAUAGGCUAAGUAGUAUUUACCUUGUAUUGUAUAAGGGGAUAGUAUAUUAAAUUUAUUUGGUUAUAAGUCUAGAUAAAUGAUAUAUUAGAUUAGUCUUAGCAUUAUUAUGUAAUUUUGAGCUUAUUUAAUCUUUAGGUGGGACGUCUUAGGAAUAAAGAAAACUUCCUGUUAGUUAAGGGUGAUAUAUUGUUAAAAUUCACAUAUAAGGUACAUUCGGGUUAAUGAUUGAUCCAGUAUUAUUGAUUAAUGGAAAUAGUUACCGUAGGGAUAACAGCGUAAUCUUUCUGGAGAGCUCUUAUUGAAAGAAGGGUUUGCGACCUCGAUGUUGGAUUAAGAUAUCCUGGAGGUGUAGAAGUUUCCAAUGGUUGGUCUGUUCGACCAUUAAAAUCUU